GUUGGUGUUUAUUUCGGAUCUAAAACCCUUAAUCUUAACCUGGGGCAGGGUAGUUAUGUUCAGAUAGUUUGAUCGUGCAUUCGAUCUUUCAAAAAAAAUCGUCCAUAUGUACACCCUCCAAUUAGGUUCAACCACAUGUUAUCCUUCGCGCACAUGUUGAAGUGUCGAAGAAGUUAAGAAAAGUUAAAAUUAGUGUUGGUUGAUCCUUAUCCACCAAUAAUGUGGCAGUCAAUAC
rnacentral:lncRNA from 1 species